CGCGAACGGGUGAGUAACACGUGAGUAACCUGCCCCGAUGAUUGGGACAACCCGAGGAAACUCGGGCUAAUACCGAAUGUGGCGCACAAUCGUAAGGUUUGUGCGCUAAAGGAAGCUUCGGCCUCCGCAUUGGGAGGGGCUCGCGGCCCAUUAGCUUGUUGGUGGGGUAACGGCCUACCAAGGCAACGAUGGGUAGCUGGUCUGAGAGGACGAUCAGCCACACUGGGACUGAGACACGGCCCAGACUCCUACGGGAGGCAGCAGUGGGGAAUCUUGCGCAAUGCGCGAAAGCGUGACGCAGCAACGCCGCGUGAGGGAAGACGGCCUUCGGGUUGUAAACCUCUUUCAGGAGGGACGAAGGCUCACCGGUGAAUAGCCGUGUGGGUUGACGGUACCUCCAGAAGAAGCUCCGGCUAACUACGUGCCAGCCGCCGCGG
rnacentral:rRNA from 1 species